rnacentral:rRNA from 1 species
AGCAGCCGCGGUAAUUCCAGCUCCAAUAGCGUAUAUUAAAGUUGUUGCAGUUAAAAAGCUCGUAGUUGAAUUUCGGGAUGAUCAGGUUGGUCGUGCCAUUGGUAUGUACUAGCUUUGGUGGUUCCUACCUCUUGAAGAACCGUAAUGUCAUUAACUUGGUGUUGCGGGGAAUCAGGACUGUUACUUUGAAAAAAUUAGAGUGUUUAAAGCAGGCAAACGCUUGAAUACAUUAGCAUGGAAUAAUGAAAUAGGACGUUUGAUCUUAUUUUGUUGGUUUCUAGGAUCGACGUAAUGAUUAAUAGGAAUAGUUGGGGGCAUUAGUAUUCAAUUGUCAGAGGUGAAAUUCUUGGAUUUAUUGAAGACUAACUACUGCGAAAGCAUUUGCCAAGGAUGUUUUCAUUAAUCAAGAACGAAAGUUAGGGGAUCGAAGACGAUCAGAUACCGUCGUAGUCUUAACCAUAAACUAUGCCGACUAGGGAUCGGAUGAUGUUAAUUUUUUAAUGACUCA